UCCUUGGUAGUGUAAUCGUGAGCAUUCCUGCCUGUCACGCAGAAUAAAAGAGUUCGAUUCCCUGCCGAGAAG